CUUAAUUCAUUUAAAUUCAUCGGUCUCUUGUCGAGAAUUGAGCUUUAAUUAUUCAGAAUUUAUUUUUUAGGGGUUAAGCAUGUGCCAGCAUCCGCGGCUAUACCUGUCCUCCUGUUAUACUAUAGUAAUUCUAUUGUACUAUUAGUAUUAAUAUUUAAUAAAAUUUUUAAGGCUGUAAAUAAAAAGAGAUUAGAUACCUCUGUAUUUGUCUAUAGCAAUAUUAAGCAGUUAAAAACUUAAAAGACGUGGCAGGACACCUUUUAUUUAGGCUCUUGAUCUAAGAUAACCCGCUAUUUUAUUUAGUUUUGGUAGUGUAUUGCUGUGAGUUUCUAAAGCGAUUUUGAAUUUAUCAAGCCCUAAUGCUUUUCUCUAGAGAUUUUUUGAGAGACUAGGAUAAAUAAGUAUAUUUCAUGAUAGAAAUAGUCUGUGUCUGUACAUAUCGCCCGUCACCUCCACUUAAUACUGGAGAAAGUCGUAACAAAGUAACACUAAUGGAAAUUGGAGUUCAUUUUUUUUAUUUUUU
rnacentral:rRNA from 1 species